rnacentral:misc_RNA from 1 species
GAUGAAGAACGCAGCGAAAUGCGAUAAGUAAUGUGAAUUGCAGAAUUCAGUGAGUCAUCGAGUCUUUGAACGCACAUUGCGCCCCCUGGUAUUCCGGGGGGCAUGCCUGUCCGAGCGUCAUUGCUGCCCUCAAGCACGGCUUGUGUGUUGGGCCCCCGUCCCCGGUUUCCCCCGGGGACGGGCCCGAAAGGCAGCGGCGGCACCGCGUCCGGUCCUCGAGCGUAUGGGGCUUUGUCACCCGCUCUGUAGGCCCGGCCGGCGCCAGCCGACACCCAACUUUAUUUCUAAGGUUGACCUCGGAUCAGGUAGGGAUACCCGCUGAACUUAAGCAUAUCAAUAAGCGGAGGA